GAUGAACGCUGGCGGCAUGCCUAAUACAUGCAAGUCGAACGAGAGGAAGGAAAGCUUGCUUUUCUGAAUCUAGUGGCGAACGGGUGAGUAACACGUAGGUAACCUGCCCAUGUGCCCGGGAUAACUGCUGGAAACGGAUGCUAAAACCGGAUAGGUAGCAGACAAGCAUUUGACUGCUAUUAAUGUGGCCAAGGCCAUGAACAUGGAUGGACACGCGGGGCAUUAGCUAGUUGGUGAGGUAACGGCCCACCAAGGCGACGAUGCAUAGCCGGCCUGAGAGGGCGGACGGCCACAUUGGGACUGAGACACGGCCCAAACUCCUACGGGAGGCAGCAGUAGGGAAUUUUCGUCAAUGGGGGGAACCCUGAACGAGCAAUGCCGCGUGAGUGAGGAAGGUCUUCGGAUCGUAAAGCUCUGUUGUAAGAGAAAAACGACAUUCAUAGGGAAUGAUGAGUGAGUGAUGGUAUCUUACCAGAAAGUCACGGCUAACUACGUGCCAGCAGCCGCAGUAA
rnacentral:rRNA from 1 species